rnacentral:rRNA from 1 species
UCGCCUGUAUGAAGUCGGAAUUGCUAGUAAUCGCGGAUCAGCAUGCCGCGGUGAAUACGUUCCCGGGCCUUGUACACACCGCCCGUCACACCAUGAGAGCCGGGAACACCCGAAGUCCGUAGUCUAACCGCAAGGAGGACGCGGCCGAAGGUGGGUUUGGUAAUUGGGGUGAAGUCGUAACAAGGUAAC